UGACCUCGAAGCGACGUAAUGUUUCGGGGAAAUUGGAAAGUAAGAAGACAGGGAGACUCCGAGCCCGAAGGACUAUUUGGCACCGAAAUGUGGUUUCGGGCGGCAGUGCCCUGUGGGCCCAAAAUGUGGGUCCGGCCGGGGUGAGUGCGGUGAGCCUGAGAAGAGGAGGAA